rnacentral:rRNA from 1 species
UACGUAGGGGGCUAGCGUUGUCCGGAAUCAUUGGGCGUAAAGAGCGUGUAGGCGGUCCGGUAAGUCCGUUGUGAAAACUCGAGGCUCAACCUCGAGCUGUCGAUGGAAACCAUCUGGCUAGAGUCCGGAAGAGGAGAGUGGAAUUCCCGGUGUAGCGGUGAAAUGCGCAGAUAUCGGGAAGAACACCCGUGGCGAAGGCGGCUCUCUGGGACGGUACUGACGCUGAGACGCGAAAGCGUGGGGAGCGAACAGG